UAAUUGCUCACAGGUUUACCUACACAAGCAGAGCUGUUGCCUGAUUGGCUCACACAGCCCAUCGUCUUUGUGUGCAUCAGUGAUGAUUAUAGAUUAGACAUUGGCAAAACGAGAGUGCGACUACCUGGCGUGAAUUUCCCGUUUCAUUCGUCGACGGCCUGUGUCGUGAAGAAGCGAAUAUGACCAUAAGGAAUGUCCGGGACCACGGGCAGCGUUACAGACCGCGGAUGGCAUGCCUGAAGAAGGUAGAAUCUGUGGUGUUGGAGAUGCAGGACCCCAAAACUGGUGUAAAAUGUCAGACACAAAGGCUUGUUAUCACCACCAUACCACAUGCUAUAACAGGGGAAGAUAUUGUGGCAUGGAUUGCUUAUCGAUUCAAAGUAGAUGCUCUGGAGGCCCGAGCUAUGGGCACCAUGAUGGUGGCAUUUGGAUACAUCUAUCCACUACAAGACCAUAAGAGACUUAUCCUUAAACCAGACACAUCCUUGUAUCGCUUUCAGACACCAUAUUUUUGGCCUGCACAGCAAUGGCCGGUGGAAGAUACAGACUAUGCAAUAUAUUUGGCGAAAAGAAAUAUACGCAAGAAAGGGAUGCUGGAGCUGUAUGAACAGGAAGAGUACAACAAUCUUUACAAGUGGAUGAAUCACAAGUGGGAUUUUAUUGUAAUGCAGGCCAAAGAGCAGUACAGGGCAGGUAAGGAGAGGAAGAAACCAGACCGGGUGGUUUUUGACUGUCAGGAACGGGCCUACUGGGUUGUACAUCGGCCACCACCAGGAACAGUUAGUGCCAUGGACUAUGGACAUGAAAGGAUGAUCGACCCCAAUAUGGAGGAGAAAAAAACAUCUGACUACUACAGAAGAAUUAUCAUGUUCACUCAGCAGUGCAUCAUGAGACCAAGGGUAAAGUCAUCUGUGUCAAUUGGAGCAAUUGUUAAGUACUCAACAACAUACAAAGAGCACGACCCCUUUCUCCACCCGUGUCUUCCGAGUAGCCCCUGGUUAACUGAUGAUAUUACAUAUUGGACUCUUAACAUGCCAAAUGUUGAGACCCCUACUAAAAUGAGGGUGGAGCGCUGGACUUUCAGCUUUGGAGAACUGCUGACUGACCAACGAGGAAGGGCUGAUUUCCGACUCUUCCUUAAAAAGGAGUUCAGUGGUGAGAAUCUUGCCUUCUGGGAGGCUUGUGAAGAUCUGAAAUGGGGUGCAGCAGAGACAAUGAAAGAAAAGGCUCAGCAAAUAUACAAGACCUUUUUGGCUCGUGGAGCUCCUCGUUGGAUUAACAUUGAUGGGAAAACAAUGGAAAUAACAGUGAAGGGUUUGGGACACCCUCAUCGUUAUGUACUGGAUGCUGCCCAGACUCACAUUUACAUGCUCAUGAAAAAGGACUCAUACGGGCGAUAUCUCAAGUCCCCGGUGUUUAAGGAAACUCAGAAGAAAGCCAUUGCUCCUGAAGCACACAGAUUCAGUGAGGCGCAGUUGGAGCAGAACGCUAAAAGAAGGCGACCCAGUCUGAGUCCCAUCAUCCUUAGGCAGCAGGAGGAAGAACAGAAGGCCAAACUUGCAGCAAGUGGCCCAGUGGACAUCACACAGGUCAUGAGCAAACUGGAAAAGAAAAAGAAAACCUGAAAGCUAGCACACAAAGGCUAGAUACUGAUAGAAAUAGAAAACUAAAGCAAUUUUGCAAGCCAGUAUAUUUUUAUAGGGAAAAAUAGAGAUUUUAUUUAUUUUUUGCUAUGUGCAGUAUUACUUAAACAUUGUUAGCCUUUGAAAGCUUGCUUAAUUUAUUUUUCUUAUGUCAUUAAUUCAUUCAUUGAACAUCACUGCUAUCAGUCCAUGCAUUGAACUUCCUUGUUAUAAGGCCACUGUGAGUAAAGGUUUUUGCACACUGAAGUCUGACGUUUACUGUACGUAUGCUUUUUUUGUAUUCGUAUCCUGAAACUUGUUCAUGCACAAAGUAACUUACAUAACUUUCACUUUGUUUGUUAGACUGUAAAAUGCUGCGAUUGACAGCAUCCUGGACUUUCGUUUGUUUGGUGAAAAUCAAAUCCGAUAAAGAAAAAAAUUAUUGGUGGAUGAAAGUUUCGGAGGCGGUGUGUAAAUGGGAUUGACACAUCAUGAUGUUGUAUUUAUUUUUUAAUGUGCUAAAAUUUUGGACGAAAUUUUCAGACUCAGUGUGAAAUUAACUUUACUGUUUUCCAGAUUUGUUGACUCUUAGGGUACAUUUACAUGACAGCGACAUCCUAAAAUUGCAAAAGUUUGUUCUUUUAAUAUUUUUAAACUUAAAGAUCUAUGAAAGCGACUGAAAAUAUGUGUUAUGCAUACCAGGCCAGUAGACUGACCCAUUUGAUCAACUGUUAAAAGGAUAGUUCAUUCAAAACUAAUGACUCACCCUUUACUUAAUUUUUUCAUCCUUUACUUAAUUUAAAGCCUUUUAAAGUUUAUUUUGUUAAAGUCAAACGAAAAUAUUUUUAAAGAAAACUGGAAAUCAAUUGCCAUUGAGUUCCAUUAAAUUAUCUUUUUUCCUAUUAUGCAUGUCAAUGGUUACCAAAUUUUCAUCUUUUUUGAAAUAUCUUCUUUUGUGUUCAAGAGAAUAGACGUUUGGUACAACUUGAGGGUGAGAAAACACUCUGCCGGUUCACAGCACCUGUGCCUCAUCUGGCCGUAUAUACAGGCUUUUGUGAAGCACAGUCCACUACCUCCCCAGGCCUCAUGACGCUGCCCAACAGUGCUGCCUGU